rnacentral:misc_RNA from 1 species
UUAAUAAUCAAUAAUCUUGGCUUGUCCAUUAUUAUCUAUUUACUGUGAACUGUAUUAUUAUUUGACGUUUGAGGGAUGUUCCAAUGUUAUAAGGAUAGACAUUGGAAAUGUUAACCGAGUCAUAAUCAGGUUUAGGCCUGGUAUCCUAUUAUUAUUUACCAAAUGAAUUCAGAAUUAAUAUUGUAACAUAGACCUAAAAAAUCUAUAAAACAACUUUUAACAACGGAUCUCUUGGUUCUCGCAUCGAUGAAGAACGUAGCAAAGUGCGAUAACUAGUGUGAAUUGCAUAUUCAGUGAAUCAUCGAGUCUUUGAACGCAACUUGCGCUCAUUGGUAUUCCAAUGAGCACGCCUGUUUCAGUAUCAAAACAAACCCUCUAUUCAACUUUUGUUGUAUAGGAUUAUUGGGGGCCUCUCGAUCUGUAUAGAUCUUGAAACCCUUGAAAUUUACUAAGGCCUGAACUUGUUUAAUGCCUGAACUUUUUUUUAAUAUAAAGGAAAG